rnacentral:rRNA from 1 species
CCCUUAGAUGUUCUGGGCCGCACGCGCGCUACACUGACGAAUGCAACGAGCUUAUAACCUUGGCCGAAAGGUCUGGGUAAUCUCCAAAUUUCGUCGUGAUGGGGAUAGAUUAUUGCAAUGAUUAAUCUUCAACGAGGAAUGCCUAGUAAGCGCAAGUCAUCAGCUUGCGUUGAUUACGUCCCUGCCCUUUGUACACACCGCCCGUCGCUCCUACCGAUUGAAUGGUCCGGUGAAGCGUUCGGACCGUGGCCUUUGGACGGUUCGCCGUCUGUUGGCUGCGGGAAGUUCGUUAAACCUUAUCAUUUAGAGGAAGGAGAAGUCGUAACA